UACGAAGGGGGGCUAGCGUUGCUCGGAAUCACUGGGCGUAAAGCGCACGUAGGCGGCUUUCUAAGUCAGGGGUGAAAUCCUGGAGCUCAACUCCAGAACUGCCUUUGAUACUGGGAGCCGCUUGAGUCCGGGGAGAGGUGAGUGGAACUCCGAGUGUAGAGGUGAAAUUCGUAGAUAUUCGGAAGGAACACCAGUGGCGAAGGCGGCUCACUGGCCCGGUACUGACGCUGAUGUGCGAAAGCGUGGGGAGCAAACAGGG
rnacentral:rRNA from 1 species